GAACGUUGAAGACGACGACGUUGAUAGGUCGGGUGUGUAAGCGCAGCGAUGCGUUGAGCUAACCGAUACUAAUGAACCGUGAGGCUUAACCUUACAACGCCGAAG
rnacentral:rRNA from 1 species